CCAAUAGCGUAUAUUAAAGUUGUUGCAGUUAAAAAGCUCGUAGUUGAACUUCGGGGUUUACUCAUUGGUCAGGCUUAAUUGUCUGUACUGGUGAGAUGAAUCUCUACCUUCUGAGGAACUUUCAUGUCAUUUAUUUGGUGUGAUUGGAAAUCAGGACUGUUACUUUGAAAAAAUUAGAGUGUUUAAAGCAGGCUAACGUCUGAAUACAUUAGCAUGGAAUAAUGAAAUAGGACGGACUGAUUCUAUUUCGUUGGUUUCUAGGAUCACCGUAAUGAUUAAUAGGGAUAGUUGGGGGCAUUAGUAUUCAAUUGUCAGAGGUGAAAUUCUUGGAUUUAUUGAAGACUAACUACUGCGAAAGCAUUUGCCAAGGAUGUUUUCAUUAAUCAAGAACGAAAGUUAGGGGAUCGAAGACGAUCAGAUACCGUCGUAGUCUUAACCAUAAACUAUGCCGACUAGGGAUCGGAUGAUGUUAAUUUUUUAAUGACUCAUUCGGCGCCUUACG
rnacentral:rRNA from 1 species